UCUUAUGAAGUUAGCGGCGGACGGGUGAGUAACACGUGGGUAACCUGCCCAUAAGACUGGGAUAACUCCGGGAAACCGGGGCUAAUACCGGAUAACAUUUUGAACCGCAUGGAUCGAAAUUGAAAGGCGGCUUCGGCUGUCACUUAUGGAUGGACCCGCGUCGCAAUAGCUAGUUGGUGAGGUAACGGCUCACCAAGGCAACGAUGCGUAACCGACCUGAGAGGGUGAUCGGCCACACUGGGACUGACACACGGCCCAGACUCCUACGGGAGGCAGCAGUAGGGAAUCUUCCGCAAUGGACGAAAGUCUGACGGAGCAACGCCGCGUGAGUGAUGAAGGCUUUCGGGUCGUAAAACUCUGUUGUUAGGGAAGAACAAGUGCUAGUUGAAUAAGCUGGCACCUUGACGGUACCUAACCAGAAAGCCACGGCUAACUACGUGCCAGCAGCCGCGGUAAUACGUAGGUGGCAAGCGUUAUCCGGAAUUAUUGGGCGUAAAGCGCGCGCAGGUGGUUUCUUAAGUCUGAUGUGAAAGCCCACGGCUCAACCGUGGAGGGUCAUUGGAAACUGGGAGACUUGAGUGCAGAAGAGGAAAGUGGAAUUCCAUGUGUAGCGGUGAAAUGCGUAGAGAUAUGGAGGAACACCAGUGGCGAAGGCGACUUUCUGGUCUGUAACUGACACUGAGGCGCGAAAGCGUGGGGAGCACACAGGAUUAGAUACCCUGGUAGUCCACGCCGUACACGAUGAGUGCUAAGUGUUAGAGGGUUUCCGCCCUUUAGUGCUGAAGUUACGCAUUAAGCAC
rnacentral:rRNA from 1 species